GGGGGUGUCGUAUAGUGGCAGUACAGCGCUCUCCAAAAGCGCUAGCGUAGGUUCGAUUCCUACCGCCCCUGCAA
rnacentral:tRNA from 2 species